GAUGAAGAACGCAGCGAAAUGCGAUACGUAAUGUGAAUUGCAGAAUUCAGUGAAUCAUCGAGUCUUUGAACGCACAUUGCGCCCCCUGGUAUUCCGGGGGGCAUGCCUGUCCGAGCGUCAUUGCUGCCCUCAAGCACGGCUUGGGUGUUGGGCCUCCGUCCUCCUCCCGGGGGACGGGCCCGAAAGGCAGCGGCGGCACCGCGUCCGGUCCUCGAGCGUAUGGGGCUUCGUCACCCGCUCUUGUAGGCCCGGCCGGCGCUUGCCGACACAUCAAUCUUUUUUCCAGGUUGACCUCGGAUCAGGUAGGGAUACCCGCUGAACUUAAGCAUAUCAAUAAGCGGAGGA
rnacentral:misc_RNA from 1 species